rnacentral:RNase_P_RNA from 1 species
CGGGCGCGACGGACGAUCGCCGGCGACCUCGAUAUCCCUCGGCCGAAAGGUCCGGGGCGAUCGAGCCUCGCGGGAGGAAAGUCCGAGCUCCACAGAGUACGAUGCCGGGUAACGCCCGGUGGCGGAGACGCCAAGGAGAGUGCAACAGAGAAGAGACCGCCCGCGCGCACGCAAGUGCCCGUAGGUAAGGGUGAAACGGCGGGGUAAGAGCCCACCGCGAGCACGGCAACGCGCUCGGCAUGGCAGACCCCAUCGGGAGCAAGGCCGCAUAGGCGGGCAUUCGUGUGGCGCGAGCCUCACGAUAAGGGUGACUCGCCCGAGCCCGUGGGUAGGCUGCUCGAGCCGGCCGGCAACGGUCGGCCUAGAAGAAUGAUCGUCACCCGGGUCGGGGCGACCUGACUCGGGAACAGAACUCGGCUUACGUCGAACCCGAACC